UCCUGCAGAUGGCGGGGCAGACCUGUGUGC
rnacentral:piRNA from 1 species